GUGCUCGCCUCGGCAGCACAUAUGCUAAAAUUGGAGCAGUGCAGAGAAAAUUAGAUGGCCCCUGUGCAAGGAUGACAUGCAAGUUCAUGAAGGAUUCCAUAUAUUU
ensembl:snRNA U6 U6 spliceosomal RNA